rnacentral:rRNA from 1 species
UACGUAGGGAGCGAGCGUUAUCCGGAUUUAUUGGGCAUAAAGCGCAAGCAGGUGGUUUCUUAAGUCGGGUGUUAAAGCCUACAGCUCAACUGUAGUUCGCGCUCGAAACUGAGAAACUAGAGGUUAGUAGAGGAAAGCGGAACUCACGGUGUAGCGGUGAAAUGCGUAGAUAUCGUGAGGAACACCAGUUGCGAAGGCGGCUUUCUGGACUGAUCCUGACACUGAGGUGCGAAAGCGUGGGGAGCGAACG